rnacentral:rRNA from 1 species
AUGCAUGCCGCUCGACGGCGGCGGGGACGAUACCAAUCUACUCCGCCUCCAGACAUCACUCCCUCCGCUCCUGCGGUUCGUGCCUCUUCCUCUAGCAAGAUCGGCGGUCGCUACACCUCCCGAGGAUGUCCUUGCACUCUUCCUGUCCCACAUAGGAAGAGGCGGCCAGUUUCUUCAAUGUAUUGUAGACCCGUUAUUGAUAGGAAAUAA